AUUGAACGCUGGCGGCAUGCCUUACACAUGCAAGUCGAACGGCAGCACGGGUGCUUGCACCUGGUGGCGAGUGGCGAACGGGUGAGUAAUACAUCGGAACGUACCUUAUCGUGGGGGAUAACGCAGCGAAAGCUGUGCUAAUACCGCAUACGCCCUGAGGGGGAAAGCGGGGGAUCGCAAGACCUCGCGCGAUUAGAGCGGCCGAUGCCUGAUUAGCUUGUUGGUGGGGUAAAAGCCCACCAAGGCGACGAUCAGUAGCUGGUCUGAGAGGACGAUCAGCCACACUGGGACUAGGACACGGCCCAGACUCCUACGGGAGGCAGCAGUGGGGAAUUUUGGACAAUGGGGGCAACCCUGAUCCAGCAAUGCCGCGUGGGUGAAGAAGGCCUUCGGGUUGUAAAGCUCUUUUGUCAGGGAAGAAACACCGGCUCUAACACAGUCCGGGAAUGACGGUACCUGAAGAAUAAGCACCGGCUAACUACGUGCCAGCCGCCGCGGUAA
rnacentral:rRNA from 1 species